AGAGUUAAAUAGUACGUGAAAUUGUUAAAAGGGAAACGUUUGAAACCAGUAUUGCUUGCAGGUAAUCAGCCAUCCCUUUUGGGUUGGUGCACUUGCCUGUUUGCGGGUCAACAUCAGUUUGAUUCGGGAUAAAAAGCCUGGAGAAGGUAGCCCCUCGGGGUGUUAUAGCUUCAGGUCAUGUCCUGGGUUGGACUGAGGUCUGCAGUGUUAUUUGGGUAGCCAGUCGCCUCUUGAAACUGCGUUGCAGACAGCAUGCUGACUGUAAUUCAGGCUAGGGAGCACGGUUGGGAUUCCACACCAACACUUAGGAUGUUGACGAAAUGGUUUUAAACGACC
rnacentral:rRNA from 1 species